rnacentral:rRNA from 1 species
CAAUGAUGCGUAGCCGAACUGAGAGGUUGAUCGGCCACAUUGGGACUGAGACACGGCCCAAACUCCUACGGGAGGCAGCAGUAGGGAAUCUUCCACAAUGGGCGAAAGCCUGAUGGAGCAACGCCGCGUGGGUGAAGAAGGUCUUCGGAUCGUAAAACCCUGUUGUUAGAGAAGAAAGUGCGUGAGAGUAACUGUUCACGUUUCGACGGUAUCUAACCAGAAAGCCACGGCUAACUACGUGCCAGCAGCCGCGGUAAUACGUAGGUGGCAAGCGUUAUCCGGAUUUAUUGGGCGUAAAGGGAACGCAGGCGGUCUUUUAAGUCUGAUGUGAAAGCCUUCGGCUUAACCGGAGUAGUGCAUUGGAAACUGGGAGACUUGAGUGCAGAAGAGGAGAGUGGAACUCCAUGUGUAGCGGUGAAAUGCGUAGAUAUAUGGAAGAACACCAGUGGCGAAAGCGGCUCUCUGGUCUGUAACUGACGCUGAGGUUCGAAAGCGUGGGUAGCAAACAGGAUUAGAUACCCUGGUAGUCCACGCCGUAAACGAUGAAUGCUAAGUGUUGGAGGGUUUCCGCCCUUCA